UACGGGGGGAGCAAGCGUUGUUCGGAUUUACUGGGCGUAAAGGGCGCGUAGGCGGUCAGCACAAGUCAGUUGUGAAAUCUCCGGGCUUAACUCGGAAAGGUCAACUGAUACUGUGCGACUAGAGUGCAGAAGGGGCAACUGGAAUUCUCGGUGUAGCGGUGAAAUGCGUAGAUAUUGGGAGGAACACCAGUGGCGAAGGCGGCUCACUGGACCGGUACUGACGCUGAGGCGCGAAAGCGUGGGGAGCAAACAGG
rnacentral:rRNA from 1 species